UACGUAGGGCGCAAGCGUUGUCCGGAAUUAUUGGGCGUAAAGAGCUCGUAGGCGGUUUGUCGCGUCUGCUGUGAAAACCUGAGGCUCAACCUCGGGCUUGCAGUGGGUACGGGCAGACUAGAGUGCGGUAGGGGAGACUGGAAUUCCUGGUGUAGCGGUGAAAUGCGCAGAUAUCAGGAGGAACACCGGUGGCGAAAGCGCUCUACUGGGCCAUAACUGACACUGAGGGAACGAAAGCUAGGGGAGCGAAAGGG
rnacentral:rRNA from 1 species